rnacentral:rRNA from 1 species
AACGAACGCUGGCGGCAGGCUUAACACAUGCAAGUCGAACGCAUCCUUCGGGGUGAGUGGCAGACGGGUGAGUAACGCGUGGGAACGUGCCCUUCAGUUCGGGAUAACCCAGGGAAACUUGGGCUAAUACCGGAUACGUGCGAGAGCAGAAAGAUUUAUCGCUGAAGGAUCGGCCCGCGUCUGAUUAGCUAGUUGGUGGGGUAAUGGCCCACCAAGGCGACGAUCAGUAGCUGGUCUGAGAGGAUGAUCAGCCACAUUGGGACUGAGACACGGCCCAAACUCCUACGGGAGGAAGCAGUGGGGAAUAUUGGACAAUGGGCGCAAGCCUGAUCCAGCCAUGCCGCGUGAGUGAUGAAGGCCUUAGGGUUGUAAACCUCUUUCGGCACCGACGAAGCGCAAGUGACGGUAGGUGCAGAAGAAGGACCGGCCAACUACGUGCCAGCAGCCGCCGUAA